UACGAAGGGGGCUAGCGUUGCUCGGAAUUACUGGGCGUAAAGCGCACGUAGGCGGCUCUUUAAGUCGGGGGUGAAAUCCUGGAGCUCAACUCCAGAACUGCCUUCGAUACUGUAGAGCUUGAGUUCGGGAGAGGUGAGUGGAACUGCGAGUGUAGAGGUGAAAUUCGUAGAUAUUCGCAAGAACACCAGUGGCGAAGGCGGCUCACUGGCCCGGUACUGACGCUGAGGUGCGAAAGCGUGGGGAGCAAACAGGG
rnacentral:rRNA from 1 species